CGUAAACACACUAUUGCGUGUGUCUGCCUAGUAACGUUAGUGUGUGAAGAGUCCGACCAUUUCCUGCAGAGGCUUCUGUUUCCACAGUUAUUUCAGGCUGGUGGCUCCCCUGAACACGUCAUCCAGCUCCUGUCGGAGAACUACUCCGCUGUGGCCCAGACUGUCAACCUGCUGGCAGAGUGGCUCAUCCAGAUGGGUGUAGAUCCAGCUCAGGUGCAGGAACGGGUAGAGAAUCACUUGAAGAGUCUGCUGAUCAAGCAUUUGACCCCCAGAAGGCUGACUCCAUCUUUACCGUGGAGGGAGAGACUCCUUUCUGGAUGGAACAGAUGAUCGCCCACACCACCUGGAGAAACCUUUUCUACAAGCUGGCCGAGGCCAACCCUGACUGUUUGAUGCUCAACUUCACUGUCAAGCUCAUCUCAGACGCGGGCUACCAGGGGAGAUCACCAGUGUGUCCACGGCGUGCCAGCAGCUGGAGGUGUUCGCCAGGGUCCUGAGAACCUCUCUGGCCACACUGCUGGAUGGAGGAGAGGACAACCUGGAGAAGAACCUGCCAGAGUUCGCUAAGAUGGUGUGUCACGGUGAGCACACUUACCUGUUUGCCCAGGCCAUGAUGUCCAUCAUGUCUCAGGAGGAGCAGGGAGGGUCGGCCAUGCGCAGGAUCGGCCAGGAAGUACAGAAGUCUGCACAUCAGAGCCCACUGCAAAUCCAACUUCAUAAUGAACUGAGAAUGACACUGGUUCGGUUUAACUUGACUGAGGAUGUAGCGGGAAGACCAGGACCUUUUGGUUAUGAGCCAAUCCCUGGAUGUGUUCUGCUGAACGAGGACUGGAACAUUGCCGAUUGAGGCUGACCACUUGGGUGUAGACUUUCACCUGCAACUUUUUAUUUUCAAAUGUGGUGUAAACACAUGACUCAGAAUUAGGAUGUUGUGUAUUAUUGCUUGUCUGGAGGUAUGUGGAGAACUUGUGCAGCUCCAUUCAUUUCACUGUAGUUUCCAUUAGUAUGAGCUAAAGUUUAGGUCUGUUAAAUGUAUGUAUGACUGACUGCUCAAAAGGUUUGGCCUUUUUCAUGGUUGCCUUUUUCAAUUUGACAAGAAUCAUGACACAUCUUGGUUUUAUUAGUUCCAGACGUAGCGACAGCCACCAUUCUUCAGCAUUUAUUUUGAGGUGGUUCAGAAAAUGUAUCAACUAUUAAAA